rnacentral:rRNA from 1 species
GACGAACGCUGGCGGCGUGCUUAACACAUGCAAGUCGAGCGGAGCGGCGAACGGGUGGGUAACGCGGGAGUAACUGCCCCCCUCUCUGGGAUAACAGUUGGAACAGGCUGCUAAUACCGGAUAGUGGGGGCUGACGCGCGUCCUCUAAGAUUGUUGGUGGGGUAGUGGCGUCGCAAGGCGACGACGGGUAGCCGGCCUGGGAGUGCGACCGGCCACAUUGGGCUGAGAUACGGCCCAAACUCCUACGGGAGGCAGCAGUGGGGAAUAUUGCACAGUGGGGGCAACCCUGAUGCAGCAACGCCGCGUGCGGGAUGACGGCCUUCGGGUUGUAAACCGCUUUCAGCCAUGACGCGGUAGUGGCAGAAGAAGCACCGGCUAACUACGUGCCAGCAGCCGCGGUAAUAC